ACCGCCCAGGCUUUGCAUCCCCUCCGGCUGCACCCAGAGCGGGGCCCCGGGCCCGGAGCGCGGCUGGGGCGAGGCAGCUUCGAGGGACCGGCUGGUUGGGGAGCCCACCGGCCUCGACUCUUUAUCGGGGCGCCAGCGGGUGGAGCCACCUCCUCGCCCAGUGGGUCAGCUUCCCUGAGUCACUGCAAGGGACCCACGGUUCAGCUGGAGAAAGUACUGAUUACCCCUCUGACAGGAAUAUUCAACUGCUUGGGUGUGGGCCCAAAAAAGGCAGAGAAGUUGGUUCACUGACUGCUGAGGUUUUUCUAGACAGGAUCUCUCUCCAUGAUGGGAAGGACGGCCUUCCUUGGAUCCAGCAUUUCUAGAGCUCACUGUCUCCACAAGAGAGAAAACGUUCUUGUCUCGGCAUCCAAACCAGGCCCCUCCCCCAAGAAUCUUACAGGCCCUGUUUACAUCGCUGCCCAUCCUUCAGCUGCUGCGCCCAAAAGCGUGGAGUACUGGGAUUGGUCAGCCCAGAGCACAGGUGCCUUCUGUGACAAACCCACCAGAAUCAGGUGCUGUGGGGGAGAAAGGUGACUUCCACAAAGAAGGAAGAUGGAACGGACCAUAAAAGAGUUUCUAACUAUUCUGCCGUGAACAGAGGUUACUGAUGUAAUCCAGAUCUGUAAGUGGAAGAGGUGUGGAAAGGAAGCACCAUUACAGAGAAAGGUGACUUGUGAUGAUUUCCACAGGCUGUCUCAUUCACCUGUACGUCCUAACACCUCAGCCGAGAAUGCUGCCCUGCCCUGCGCCAUUGCCCAGGUGUAUAGUAGAAUGCUGAGACCCAUCAAAUUACCCACCCCAGGGUAUCAACCAGACUCCCAGGUGGUGUUUGGAAAACCUCCUCCACAGCCAAUGGACUGGCGAGCAUCCUUUGUCAACUGAUGCUGUGUUCACAUUUCAGGUCCAGGGGUGGGUGGAUCCCCCGCAGUGGAUGGCUGCUUGGUUAAUGAGUCCCCUGUGAGCAAAUGUCCUUAAAGUCAGCUAGAUUAAAAUAACACCCUACUCUCCAUACACUACUGCCCAGAGUACAAGAAAAAUAGAUUUAAUACGUAUAUCCAAUUUAUUUCUGCCAAUGAGCCAUCCUUAGGAAAAGAAUGCACAGCCUGAAAAUAUGUGUUCUCAGACUGAAGCGACUUAGCAGCAGCAGUAGCAGUAGCAGCAGUGCUGGGAUUUCCCUUCCUGGGUCCCUUUAUCCUCACAGGGAGUUGAAGGGCAGCAGAGAGCCCUCCUCCAACUUCCUCUUCAGUUUCUCACCCAUCAUUCUCUUAGUCUCUUUCUUCCUCCCAUCUUUGCUGGAAACAUGGAAGAAAUAUAUCCACUGCAUGUAAUACACAAAUCUCUUCUUGCCAGGUUAUGUGUCUGUUGCCCAACUAAAGGAAAAUAACUUGAAGGCAAACACUAUAUUUUUCAUCCCUACCUUCAGUUUGCAAUAGUAUUCAAGAAUAAAUUAUGCUGAAUAAAUAAACCAGA
ensembl:lncRNA